rnacentral:rRNA from 1 species
UACGGGGGGUGCGAGCGUUGUCCGGAAUUACUGGGCGUAAAGGGCGCGUAGGCGGCUUGGCAAGUUGGGCGUGAAAGCCCUGGGCUUAACCCAGGAAUUGCGCUUGAGACUGCCAGGCUUGAGUGCGGGAGAGGUGAGUGGAAUUCCCAGUGUAGAGGUGAAAUUCGUAGAUAUUGGGAAGAACACCAGUGGCGAAGGCGGCUCACUGGCCCGCAACUGACGCUGAGGCGCGAAAGCGUGGGGAGCAAACAGG